AACGAACGCUGGCGGCAGGCUUAACACAUGCAAGUCGAACGCCCCGCAAGGGGAGUGGCAGACGGGUGAGUAACGCGUGGGAACAUGCCCAAAGGUACGGAAUAUUCUCGGGAAACUGGGAGCAAUACCGUAUGUGCCCGAAAGGGGAAAGAUUUAUCGCCUUUGGAUUGGCCCGCGUUGGAUUAGCUAGUUGGUGGGGUAAAAGCCUACCAAGGCGACGAUCCAUAGCUGGUCUGAGAGGACGACCAGCCACACUGGGACUGAGACACGGCCCAGACUCCUGCGGGAGGCAGCAGUGGGGAAUCUUGGACAAUGGGCGCAAGCCUGAUCCAGCCAUGCCGCGUGGAUGAUGAAGGCCCUAGGGUUGUAAAAUCCUUUCGUUGGGGACGAUAAUGACGGUACCCAAAGAAGAAGCACCGGCUAACUACGUGCCAGCAGCCGCCGUAACAC
rnacentral:rRNA from 1 species